CCCUUAGAUGUUCUGGGCCGCACGCGCGCUACACUGAUUCAUGCACUAAGUAUAUAACCUUGGUAGAAAUGCUUGGGUAAUCUUCGAAACUGAAUCGUGCUGGGGAUUGGAGCUUGUAAUUAUUCUCCAUGAACGAGGAAUUCCUAGUAAACGCGAGUCAUCAGCUCGCAUUGAUUACGUCCCUGCCCUUUGUACACACCGCCCGUCGCAACUACCGAUUGAAUGGUCCGGUGAAAUCUUCGGACCGCGCAACGCCGCAAGGUGAUGCGUGGAAAGUUGCUUAAACCUUACCAUUUAGAGGAAGGUGAAGUCGUAACA
rnacentral:rRNA from 1 species